CUACGGGAGGCAGCAGUGAGGAAUAUUGCACAAUGGGGGGAACCCUGAUGCAGCAACGCCGCGUGGAGGAUGACGCAUUUCGGUGUGUAAACUCCUUUUAUAUGUCAAGAAAAUGACGGUAGCAUAUGAAUAAGCACCGGCUAGACUCCGUGCCAGCAGCCGCGGUGAAUACGGAGGGUGCAAGCGUUACUCGGAAUCACUGGGCGUAAAGGACGCGUAGGCGGGUUGGAAAGUCAGGUGUGAAAUCCUACAGCUUAACUGUAGAACUGCACUUGAAACUUCUAAUCUAGAGUAUGGGAGGGGGAGAUGGAAUUAGUGGUGUAGGGGUAAAAUCCGUAGAUAUCACUAGGAAUACCUAAAGCGAAGGCGAUCUCCUGGAACAUUACUGACGCUAAGGCGUGAAAGCGUGGGGAGCAAACAGGAUUAGAUACCCUUGUAGUC
rnacentral:rRNA from 1 species